AGCUAAUACCGCAUAACGUCGCAAGACCAAAGAGGGGGACCUUCGGGCCUCUUGCCAUCGGAUGUGCCCAGAUGGGAUUAGCUAGUAGGUGGGGUAACGGCUCACCUAGGCGACGAUCCCUAGCUGGUCUGAGAGGAUGACCAGCCACACUGGAACUGAGACACGGUCCAGACUCCUACGGGAGGCAGCAGUGGGGAAUAUUGCACAAUGGGCGCAAGCCUGAUGCAGCCAUGCCGCGUGUAUGAAGAAGGCCUUCGGGUUGUAAAGUACUUUCAGCGGGGAGGAAGGGAGUAAAGUUAAUACCUUUGCUCAUUGACGUUACCCGCAGAAGAAGCACCGGCUAACUCCGUGCCAGCAGCCGCGGUAAUACGGAGGGUGCAAGCGUUAAUCGGAAUUACUGGGCGUAAAGCGCACGCAGGCGGUUUGUUAAGUCAGAUGUGAAAUCCCCGGGCUCAACCUGG
rnacentral:rRNA from 1 species